GCUCUCCUGGCUGCGCCGCCGGCGGGAAGUCGAGACAAAUUUGCUGGUUGUUUUCUCUCGUUUCUGCCACUUUGGAUUUAGUCCAAUAAACAAACCAAUGUAGCGUUACACGGACUACAGUUAAAGUUAGUGCCCCAGUAAACACAGAUGGAUCAGCCCCACGAGAAGAUUAUAAAAUAGCAGUGUUAAAAUAUUUCUGUAGUGUUGGAGCCCACAGCAA
rnacentral:lncRNA from 1 species